rnacentral:rRNA from 1 species
AUUGAACGCUGGCGGCAGGCCUAACACAUGCAAGUCGAACGAGUGGCGGACGGGUGAGUAAUGUAGGGGAAACUGCGUGAUGGAGGGGGAUAACUACUGGAAACGGUAGCUAAUACCGCAUACAGUCCGAUGUGCCCAGGGGGGAUUAGCUAGUUGGUGGGGUAACGGCUCACCAAGGCGACGAUCCCUAGCUGGUCUGAGAGGAUGACCAGCCACACUGGGACUGAGACACGGUCCAGACUCCUACGGGAGGCAGCAGUGGGGAAUAUUGCACAAUGGGCGCAAGCCUGAUGCAGCCAUGCCGCGUGUAUGAAGAAGGCCUUAGGGUUGUAAAGUACUUUCAGCGGGGAGGCGUUACCCGCAGAAGAAGCACCGGCUAACUCCGUGCCAGCAGCCGCGGUAAUUC